rnacentral:lncRNA from 1 species
AUGACAAAUCAUUUCUCAAGCCACCCCUUGAGACCUCACUGCACAAUCAGAGCCUGCAAUGUAGCCUGGAAAUCAAUAAUACCUGGCCCUUUGUGUCAGGGAAUAGUUAAAAAACUAGAUCGAGAGGGAAUGGGCAAAGCAAGGAUCAGCAGACACAGCCUUACGCUAGGAACUUACAAUCAUCUCCAGCAUUUCAUGUGUGUAAAAUCAGAGGGAGCUUUUUUACUGAUUUCACUCAACAACAGAUAAAGUGCUCUCUGAUUGAUUGAAGCAUAGAACAGUUGCACCUGCUAAGAUCACGUUACUCUGAGGUGCGUGGACUGCCAUAGACUCUCAUUGACUUCCUGAAUGAGCACCUCACUCAAUACACUUCUCAAAUGAUCAGAAAGCAGUAGGUAAGUAAUGGUUCAGUGAAAAACUUGCACUCUACUGCACCAAUAGAUUUGAUAGAUAGA